rnacentral:rRNA from 1 species
GCUUUGGCGGGCCGUGGCCUCCACUGCGGGCUCUGCUCGUGUGUGCCCGCCANAGGACCAAACUCUGAAUGUUAGUGAUGUCUGAGUACUAUCUAAUAGUUAAAACUUUCAACAACGGAUCUCUUGGUUCUGGCAUCGAUGAAGAACGCAGCGAAAUGCGAUAAGUAAUGUGAAUUGCAGAAUUCAGUGAAUCAUCGAAUCUUUGAACGCACAUUGCGCCCUGUGGUAUUCCGCAGGGCAUGCCUGUUCGAGCGUCAUUUAACCACUCACGCCUAGCGUGGUAUUGGGGCACGCGGUCUCGCGGCCCUCAAAAUUAGUGGCGGCGCCGGUGGGCUCUAAGCGUAGUACAUACUCCCGCUAUAGAGUUCCCCCGGUGGCUCGCCAGAACCCCCAAUUUUUUACAGGUUGACCUCGGAUCAGGUAGGGAUACCCGCUGAACUUAAGCAUAUCAAUAAGCGGAGGAAAAGAAACCAACAGGGAUUACCUCAGUAACGGCGAGUGAAGCGGUAACAGCUCAAAUUUGAAAGCUGCCAACAGGCCGCGUUGNAAUUUGUANAAGCUGCUUUGGGUGUCGGCCCGGUCUAAGUUCCUUGGAACAGGACGUCAUA